GACGAACGCUGGCGGCGUGCUUAACACAUGCAAGUCGAACGAAGUGGCGAACGGGCGAGUAACGCGUAAUCAACCUGCCCUUCAGAGGGGGACAACAGUUGGAAACGACUGCUCAUACCGCAUACUGAAGGAGGGGAUUGCGUCUGAUUAGCGAUUUGGAGGGGUAACGGCCCACCAAGGCGAUGAUCAGUAGCCGGUCUGGGAAGGUGAACGGCCACAUUGGGACUGGACCACGGCCCAGACUCCUACGGGAGGCAGGCGUGGGGAAUCUUCCGCAAUGGAAGAAAGUCUGACGAGGCAACGCCGCGUGAGUGAUGACGGCCUUCGGGUUGUAAAGCUCUGUUAAUCGGGACGCGGUACCGGAAUAGAAAGCCACGGCUAACUACGUGCCAGCCGCCGCGGUAAUAC
rnacentral:rRNA from 1 species